rnacentral:lncRNA from 1 species
GAUUAAGUGGAGUAUAUUACUUCAGCAAAAGGGGUGGGAUGGGGAUGGAGGGAGAAUCUGAAUGUGACCAGAAAGAGAAGGAAGAGGAUUGUGUGGAAAAGAGGUGCACUGUGGUGCUGGCUGCCAUAAAGCCAGUGAGUUCGUCCGUCUUGAAGGUUACUUCUGAUUUGUCACUCAGUGGGUUCAGUUUACAGGGGCAAAGAACCAAGACAUCCCAUUUUGGGUAGGUACAUAGUGCAUUUCUGAUGGGCUGCUAUAGGCAGGGGUUCAUUUGUUCAUUUGCUUUAAAUAACAGAUUAGUGAUUUCGUGCAAUUGACAUUUAACCCCGGGCAUUAAUUAAAACUGACAUGCUGUGUCAUUUGGGCAAGUGUGGGUUGGAAGAAGGUAAUAUGGUACUUCCAGCAAACAAACUGUGAAAAUCUUUUCAAAACUUCUUUAUGUGUUUAUGAUGUGUUUAUUGAUUUUAAUGACACUGAUAUAAUUUGGGGCAAGUUCCCCCAAAUUGAGCAGCAUCCUGCAUUCAGUUGUUGGGGAGGUAAGCAAGGGUUGGAAGUGUUUUACCAUGAAUCACCUUUAUCCAAAUGUUUAUUACAUUCAAAAAAUAUGUCAGGCACUAUGUUCAGUAAGUCCGUGUACCUCCCUUUGUUACAAUUUUCUUGCAAUUGUGUAUUAAUCCUGUCAUGAAUUUUACUGAGCACCCACUAUGUGCCUGUAGCUGGGGAUCAUGCUGUAGAUAAAAUAGAUGAGGCUUCUUAUCUUAUGGGAGGCUACAUCCAGCUCAACUAGAGAGACAGUUAUCAUAAAUAGACUGUAAGUUCCACACAGCCAGGGGUUUGUGUCUAUUGUAGCUCCAUCAAUUAGAAUGGGACCUGACAAAUAGCAUAUACUUGCUAAUUUUUGUAAAAAAUUUUAAAGUUGAGAGGGUGGGAAUUAGAGAACUGAAUUAUUAAGUCCAUGGAUCUCUAUGCCUAUAAAAUACAUAUGUUUUCUAGAUAGUAUCGGUUUUUAAAAUAUUAACAAAUUUGGAAAGAAAGAGAGGCCUUCUAUUUCACCAGUUCACUCCCCAGAUGACCACAAUGGUCAGGUCUCAGGCCAUGUGGAAGCCAGAAGCCUGUAACUCAGUUCAGGUCUCCUACCUGUGUCUCUCAGGGUGCACUGUAGUAGGAAGCUGGAAUUGAAAGCAAAACUGGAACUUGAAUCCAAGCACUCCAUCUGAUGUGGAAAUG